rnacentral:rRNA from 1 species
UACGGAGGGUGCGAGCGUUGUCCGGAAUCACUGGGCGUAAAGGGCGCGUAGGCGGCCUGAUAAGUAGGGGGUGAAAUCCUGCGGCUUAACCGCAGGGCUGCCUUCUAAACUGUCGGGCUCGAGCACGGUAGAGGCAGAUGGAAUUCCCGGUGUAGCGGUGGAAUGCGUAGAGAUCGGGAAGAACAUCAGUGGCGAAGGCGGUCUGCUGGGCCGUUGCUGACGCUGAGGCGCGAAAGCUAGGGGAGCAAACGGG